CUGUUUAUCUAUCUCUCUUUCUCUAGCUACUAUCUAUCUCUUUCUGUUUAUCUCUCUCUCUCUCUUUCUCUAUCUAGCUCUCUCUGUCUUUCUCUAUGUCUUUCUGUUGAUCUCUUUCUGUCUCUCAGCCACAGAGCAUGACCCCGCCCCUAACCUGACAUUAUAAGGACAGACCAACUGAUUAGCAUAUUCCUAUGUACACCAUUAGGGUAUUCCUAUGUACGCCAUUAAUAUAUUCCUAUGUACAUCAUUAGCAUAUUCCUAUGUAAACCAUUAAUAUAUUCCUAGUCCACAGACUAGACUGUGUAUGUUUAGCAAAGUAUCUCUACCACACACAGUCCCUCUCUUCUGUCUGCGUGUGUUUUAGACUCAGCAUUUAAAUAGAACCCCCACUCUCUGUCAGGUCACUCUCUGUCUUCAAGGCUGAGCAGCUGUGGGUGUGACGGGUCACUCUCUGUCAGGUUACUCUCUUGUUAGGUCACUCUCUUGUUAGGUCACUCUCUGUCAGGUUACUCUCUUGUUAGGUCACUCUCUUGUUAGGUUACUCUCUUGUUAGGUCACUCUCUUGUUAGGUCACCUGACACAAACCAGUAGGCGAUGGUAUUAGGACUUAUUGAUGACUGUGGAUCAAUACCACCCAUGUUUCUGGGACCACUGAUGCACAGAGAGGAGGGACCGCUUGAUCCAACAACGUUUUAUGUUUAUGCUUCAGGAAAUGCUAUUGCAGAUGAAUUUUCCAGGUUUCCUCCACGAUGCUAUACACACAUUCAUAAUAACACACAUAUUAACAUAAGGAAAGAAGGGCGUUGAGGAUGCAAUGAUAUUUGUUAAAUAAAUGCUUUCCUUUAUUGUG